GCAGGGAAGAUGGGAGGCGCGAUGGAAGGUGGCAGGGAGGAUGAAGGGUGCUGAGGAGGACGUAGGGUGCCAUGGAGGGUGCAGCAUGCUGAAGAAGGUGAAGAUUGGCAGGGAGGAUGGAUGGUGUUGAGGAUGGAGGACGCUGAGGAUGAAGGGGCAGAGCGGCGGACACGCGGUUGCCCCACGGUGAGCACGGUUCGGCAGGCGACGGCUUCCAGCCCCUCGUAAGAGCAGCUCUCGGAUCUCAGAGCCGAGCCGUCGGCGUGGGAUUCCAUCCCCGGAGCAGAGCAGGAUGACGAGGGGACGGAUGGAUGCGCUUGGACGCCACCGGGAGCUGUCCAGAGCGAGCAAGGUGCCCAAUUAAAGCCAUUAACACCCCAUAAUCCGUCCCCUGGCUUGUUACAAGUGGAAGGAGCAAAAAAAAAGCGGAGAAAAAAGGGAUUUUGGCCGUUACCUCAGCGGCGUUAUUUUGAAAUAACCAGAUCCGGCAGCGGUUGUUUCACAAUUGCUGACGAUAAUUAGGCAGGGGUGGGGGGCAAACUCCAUCAUCAUCAUCAUCAUCCCCAGCUCACUUUAAUUCACUAAUUAAGGUGAAAUCCAUGAUAACAAACGCCUUCGUGUUGUCACAACCCACCUCGCUCCACAGCAAGAUGUUGGGCCGCAAAAAAUAAACACCAAAAUGCUCUGAAAACCACCCAAAUUAUCCAUUCCAGGAUUUUGGGGCUCUUUCCUUCAAAUUGUUUGCCCAGUCACUGCGGCGCUUCAGGGAGAAAAGAGGGGAGUGGGCACCUGCGCCGCAUCUCCCACCAAAAUAGGCCGUCACCGGGGUAAAUUAGUUACGAACGAUGCUUUAAAACACCCCUGCCCCGUUGCUGGAAUUAUUUCUGGUAAGAAAAAAAAAAAUGCUAAAAUAAAUUGAAAAAUCCUAAACUAAGUAAAAAAAUCCUAAAAA